rnacentral:rRNA from 1 species
AGACNNCAGGGAUUGCCUCAGUAACGGCGAGUGAAGCGGCAAUAGCUCAAAUUUGAAAUCUGGCUCUUUCAGGGUCCGAGUUGUAAUUUGUAGAGGAUGUUUCGGACAAGGCUUCGGUUUAAAUUCCUUGGAACAGGAUGUCAUAGAGGGUGAGAGUCCCGUCUUGAACCGUCUGCUGCGUCUAUGUGAAACUCCUUCGACGAGUCGAGUUGUUUGGGAAUGCAGCUCAAAAUGGGAGGUAAAUUUCUUCUAAAGCUAAAUAUUGGCCAGAGACCGAUAGCGCACAAGUAGAGUGAUCGAAAGAUGAAAAGCACUUUGAAAAGAGAGUUAAACAGUAUGUGAAAUUGUUGAAAGGGAAGCGGUUGCAACCAGACUUGUGUGUAACAGUUCAACCUUGGUUUUCCAAGGCCUAUUCUGUUAUACCAGGCCAGCAUCGGUUCGGGUGGUUAGUUAAAGGCAUCGGGAAUGUAUCUACUCUUCGGGGUCGACUUAUAGCCCUUUGUGUAAUGUGACCUACCUGGACCGAGGCACGCGCAUUUGCUCGGAUGCUGGCGUAAUGGUUGUAACCGACCCGUCUUGAAACACGGACCAAGGAGUCUAACAUCUAUGCGAGUGUUGGGGGGUGGAAA